CUUUGGAUCAAGAUGUAAGGAUUCUCAGCUCCAGCACCAAGUCUGACUGCAUGCUGCCAUGCUUCCCGCCAUGACAAUAAUGGACUGAACCUCUGAAUUGUUUUGAUGGUUACUGGAGAUGCUGAGUCCUCCUGUGGGGGACCCUUGGGGGCUAUAAACAGUCCAUUGCAUUCAAAUCUCUGUCCUGCAUUCCUGCUCUACAAGCAACUGUCAUUUGCUUAUUUGAGAUCACCUGUGAGUUGAAUGAUGGACAGACCUUCUCUGAAUUUCUAGUUAUCCACCCCCAUCUGUCACAGUGCCUGCUUCUGUGUCAGACACAUGCCUGAUGUGUCUGUGUGCUAGAACAAACACCGAGGACUAUAUAGCAUCAGGGAAAGCUCAGGCGGGAGGCAAGCAUGGCAAGAGCAGUCUGCAGUGUCAUAGGUGCAGUGCCCUCUGAGGAGGGAAGAAGGCGCUAGGAAAUGGAGACUCAAGGAAGAGCCCUUCAGAUCAACUGUCAGGAAGUGCUUUUGCCUUGGAGUUAGAUAACAUGUGCCCAGGAUGACCUUGAUAUAAUGACCUGGACUCCAGCUCGAGCACCUGGUUGGGUCCAGCCAGACAGCUAUCUGUGGUCCUUCAGGGAUGUCACGGCAAACUGGCUCUGUCCAGCAGUGUCUCCCAGUAGGCACUGUGAUUGCUCUGCUGGUUCCACAGGCUGGAAAACCUGCACACAUUUCUGUAAAGGACCUGGCUUUGGAGGCUCUGCUCAUACUGCCUCUCUGCCUGCCACCCUCCACCGUGUCUGGAUCAGCUGCCACUGUUACAGGAACUCCCACGGGGUGGAAAUCAUCUCUGAGCUUGCUCACUGCAGCUUCCCGGACACCCAGCACAGCAUCCACCAGUGAAGGAGAGAGUGAAGUCAUGUGAACAGACUGACUGCCUGAGAGCCAGCCUCUUCACACUCCAGAACUUUCUCACACCUAGGAAAAGGGUAGUAAAACUGUCCACCCCCUGCCUUCCCUGACCAGUGUUACAACUUGUCUUCUGAGAGUGUAGUGCUGGCAUCAUCCCCGGUGACUCAUGGAGACUUCUCGACACAUUCUGCCCACCUUACCCCAACCCUCGGCUGUCGAUGCUACCACAUCCUGCUUUUUCAUGUGGCUUCUGGGGAUCAAUCUUGGGUCUUUAUGCUUGUACAGCAAGCGCUUGACUGACUAAGUCAUCUCUUCAGCCCUCAUUAUUAUAUUUUCCUUUAAAUCCAAAGGUAGAGGAUUAGGGGACAGUAAGGCAAAUGUGACUUAGUGUCCCCCAUUCCCCCAUUCUUGUUUGCACACUGGAGCAAUAAU
rnacentral:lncRNA from 1 species